rnacentral:misc_RNA from 1 species
GUGAAUCAUCGAAUUUUUGAACGCACAUUGCACUCUCUUCGAAUAGUAUGGCUGUUUGUGGGUCAGCCUAAUAAAAAUCCUCAACGUUGCUGUUUCGCGGUGGCGCUUGUCGGAAAUUUGGCUAUCUUCUCUCUUUGGUUUAAGCGACUUAAAAUUUUCUUUACGACUACAUGAACGUUUCUAAGACUUUUU